rnacentral:rRNA from 1 species
ACGGGUGAGUAGCGCGUAAAGAACUUGCCCUGCAGACAGGGAUAACAGACGGAAACGACUGACAACACCUGAUACGGUUGCCGGCACGCAUGUGCCAGGCAAUGAAAAGCGAUGCUGCAGGAGAGCUUUGCGUCCUAUUAGCUUGUUGGUGAGGUAACGGCUCACCAAGGCGACGAUAGGUAGCCGGCCUGAGAGGGUGAACGGCCACAAGGGGACUGAGAUACGGCCCCUACUCCUACGGGAGGCAGCAGUGGGGAAUAUUGGACAAUGGGGGCAACCCUGAUCCAGCAAUUCUGUGUGCACGAAGAAGGCUUUCGGGCUGUAAAGUGCUUUCAGCAGGGAAGAAGCAAGUGACGGUACCUGCAGAAGAAGCGACGGCUAAAUACGUGCCAGCAGCCGCGGUAAUACGUAUGUCGCAAGCGUUAUCCGGAAUUAUUGGGCAUAAAGGGCAUCUAGGCGGUUUUUCAAGUCAGGGGUGAAAACUUAUGGCUCAACUAUAAGCUUGCCUUUGAAACUGAAAGACUAGAGUACUGGAAAGGUGGGUGGAACUACACGAGUAGAGGUGAAAUUCGUAGAUAUGUGUAGGAAUGCCGAUGAUGAAGAUAACUCACUGGACAGAAACUGACGCUG